AUUGAACGCUAGCGGGAUGCCUUACACAUGCAAGUCGAACGGCGUGGCGAACGGGUGAGUAAUGUAUCGGAACGUGCCCAGUAGCGGGGGAUAACUACGCGAAAGCGUAGCUAAUACCGCAUACUAUUGGACCGGCCGACAUCGGCUUAGCUAGUUGGUGGGGUAACGGCUCACCAAGGCGACGAUCCGUAGCUGGUUUGCGAGGCCGACCAGCCACACUGGGACUGAGACACGGCCCAGACGCCUACGGGAGGAAGCAGUGGGGAAUUUGGGACAAUGGGGGAAACCCUGAUCCAGCCAUCCCGCGUGUGCGAUGAAGGCCUUCGGUUUGUAAAGCACUUUUGGCAGGAAAGCGGUACCUACAGAAUAAGCACCGGCUAACUUCGUGCCAGCCGCCGCGGUAAUAC
rnacentral:rRNA from 1 species